GGAUCAAUGGUGACUCCUGCAAAUACCUCCCUUGGAAGCUGAACAAAAUGAGUGAAAACCCCAUACUGUCAUUCUCAUCAUGCCUGAGAUCC